rnacentral:lncRNA from 1 species
CCAAUCAAAAUAGGUCUAGCUCACGUGCCUUUUUGCGCCCGUUCAUGUUGUUGAUCGGAGUUUUGAAAAUUCGUGGAAGUAUUUAAAAAGCGCCCUGUACAGAUUAUGUCAAAUCAUGGCUUCUCCACCUGUUUCCAUGUUGUCUGCUGUUGGAAGAACAUCUAUGAGGGACUGUGAAUAGAAUCUUUAUCUUCUGCUUAUAUACAACACUUACUCAUGGGCCAGUGGCACAAUUUCUAGCUGUACAAGGAUAUCAUGGUGUUUGAUAAGUUGAUGACAAUGAAACUAAUGACCAUGUUAACAUAAGAGGAAAAGCAAACUGGGAGAAGAAAGGACAACAUUGUUUUCGAUCUUGAAGGCCUGCAUAGACAUAGGACCAGGAAGGGGAGCUAGGAGUGGGAGAAGUGCCUGUGACUGAUAUAUGCACUAUCAGAUAGAAAUCCAGUUCAAAAGGAAAUCUGAAAUAGUGAAAUAG